UACACGUAAGAAAACAUUAUUUCUUGCUCCUAAAAACGAUUUUUCCUUCAGAAUUUCAAUCUACAGAGAUGGUUUAUUUCCUGCUGAUGUCUUAAAGGACCUUGUGGUUAGGCCUUACAAUACCAAGGGGCAUAGGAAUGGUCUAUGUUACAAUGAAAUAAUAAUAAUACUGUGAAGACCGAGAUGUGUCAUUCCUUCCACACUAAUGGACACCCUUGGAAUACUUUGUCUUCAAUGAAGAGUCAUGAAAGUGACUUCCUCUCCUGGGAAUAAGGAUAAUGAUUACAGCAUGAUGUGGAUUACUAAAGAAUGAGUUUGCAACAUGUAAUUGAUUAUUUUGGAUACAUUUGGAGUUCUAGGACUAGAAGGAAUUCAUUUAAACAUAUUAAAUGAACAAGAAGGCAAACAGUAAGGUUUCGAAACCUGCAGAAGUGGAGCCCUUUAAAGCUCCCUCCCCUUGGAUGUAAAUGUACAUGCAAUUCGAUUUACACUGACGUAUAUAUGGUUGCGGUGCGAUAUUCUAUCUUCCUGCUAUGUGGCUUAUUUCACCAUCAAUGGCAUUAGUUUUCCUUUCUUAAACAUUUUCACUUCCUUGUUGUCAACGCUGAGGAAUAAAACUCGAGCACCGUUCAGUAAACCUCUCGAUUGUUCAACAAAUGAGAGAGAAUAUUCAGUUUGGUUGUACUGAAACAAGCAAUGUCCAUAUGGGUGUGGUCUUUUGUGAACCAUAUUCUUGAUGUGCUGUUUUCGCCUCCACCUUGCAACAUUAUGCAGUUAAUUCUCAACGGAUGAGUGAAAGCAACUGGAGAUGUAUGUGAACUCUACUGAAACGACAGAUUUUCUGCCAUUGUAUUCCUCUUGGGUUUGGUUUGCUUUCCACACCUGCAAACUUUGGAACGUUACAGUUUACAGUUAACGAAGAUCGACGUUGGAGAAGACAAAGAUGACCCCAUAGUUAAAAUAGUUCUCUAUCUUGCAUGCUUUAUGUAGUAGAAGUCAUCAAGUUCAUUUUAUUCAAAUUAGUUUUUUAUUUUGCAUGUAUUUUUGUAGUUUAUUUGUUUUUUAAAUUAAUUUUUAUUU
rnacentral:lncRNA from 1 species